rnacentral:rRNA from 1 species
GAUGAACGCUGGCGGCGUGCCUAAUACAUGCAAGUCGAGCGAACAGACGAGGAGCUUGCUCCUCUGACGUUAGCGGCGGACGGGUGAGUAACACGUGGAUAACCUACCUAUAAGACUGGGAUAACUUCGGGAAACCGGAGCUAAUACCGGAUAAUAUAUUGAACCGCAUGGUUCAAUAGUGAAAGACGGUUUUGCUGUCACUUAUAGAUGGAUCCGCGCCGCAUUAGCUAGUUGGUAAGGUAACGGCUUACCAAGGCAACGAUGCGUAGCCGACCUGAGAGGGUGAAGUGGCACACUGGGACUGAGACACGGUCCAGACUCCUACGGGAGGCAGCAGUAGGGAAUCUUCCGCAAUGGGCGAAAGCCUGACGGAGCAACGCCGCGUGAGUGAUGAAGGUCUUCGGAUCGUAAAACUCUGUUAUUAGGGAAGAACAAAUGUGUAAGUAACUAUGCACGUCUUGACGGUACCUAAUCAGAAAGCCACGGCUAACUACGUG